UACGAAGGUGGCAAGCGUUACUCGGAAUUACUAGGCGUAAAGGGCAGGUAGGCGGUCUGGUUAGUCUGUUGUGAAAGCUCCUUGCUUAACGAGGAGAGGCCAACAGAUACUGCCAGGCUUGAGUAUAGGAGAGGGUACUGGAAUUCCCGGUGUAGCGGUGAAAUGCGCAGAGAUCGGGAGGAACACCAAUGGCGAAAGCAGGUACCUGGACUAUUACUGACGCUCAGCUGCGAAAGCUAGGGGAGCAAACAGG
rnacentral:rRNA from 1 species